AUAAUACAGAGGUUCCCUCCCCUACUUUCCCUCCCCUCAGAGUGACACUUAAUCCACUUAAUGCUGGUACCUUUUUCCCUGUUUCUUGGAUGUACCCCAAAACUGUGGGUUAAAUGGACUUAAGUGGCAUCCCCUGGUAGCUCUGAUCUGGGUGACCAACAUACUCAAAAUUCACCCAGAUCAGACCAGGGGUUCAGGAGUUAUGGGAAUAAACGAUUUGACCGACCGCAC